UUGAAAGUGGAAGUUGUUAUGCAGUU
rnacentral:piRNA from 1 species